rnacentral:rRNA from 1 species
UACAGAGGUGGCAUGCGUUGUUCGGAAUUACUGGGCGUAAAGGGCGCGUAGGGGGCCCGCCAAGUCCCGUGUGAAAUCCCCCGGCUCAACCGGGGAACGGCGCGGGAACCUAGCAGGCUUGAGUUCGGGAGAGGGAAGCGGAAUUCCGGGUGUAGCGGUGAAAUGCGCAGAUAUCCGGAGGAACACCGGUGGCGAAGGUGGCUUCCUGGACCGACACUGACGCUGAGGCGCGAAAGCUAGGGGAGCAAACGGG